UAGGGAAUCUUCCGCAAUGGACGCAAGUCUGACGGAGCAACGCCGCGUGAGUGAAGAAGGAUUUCGGUUCGUAAAACUCUGUUGUUAGAGAAGAACAGCGCAUAGAGUAACUGUUAUGCGUGUGACGGUAUCUAACCAGAAAGCCACGGCUAACUACGUGCCAGCAGCCGCGGUAAUACGUAGGUGGCAAGCGUUGUCCGGAUUUAUUGGGCGUAAAGCGAGCGCAGGCGGUCAAUUAAGUCUGAUGUGAAAGCCCCCGGCUCAACCGGGGAGGGUCAUUGGAAACUGGUUGACUUGAGUGCAGAAGAGGAGAGUGGAAUUCCAUGUGUAGCGGUGAAAUGCGUAGAUAUAUGGAGGAACACCAGUGGCGAAGGCGACUCUCUGGUCUGUAACUGACGCUGAGGUUCGAAAGCGUGGGGAGCGAACAGG
rnacentral:rRNA from 1 species